rnacentral:rRNA from 1 species
CGGCGGACGGGUGAGUAGCGCGUGGGUAACCUGCCUCAUACAGGGGGAUAACAGUUGGAAACGGCUGCUAAUACCGCAUAAGCGCACAGUACCGCAUGGUACGGUGUGAAAAACUCCGGUGGUAUGAGAUGGACCCGCGUCUGAUUAGGUAGUUGGUGGGGUAACGGCCUACCAAGCCGACGAUCAGUAGCCGACCUGAGAGGGUGACCGGCCACAUUGGGACUGAGACACGGCCCAA